UACGGAGGAUGCAAGCGUUAUCCGGAUUUAUUGGGUUUAAAGGGUGCGUAGGCGGACUGUCAAGUCAGCGGUAAAAUUGAGAGGCUCAACCUCUUCCCGCCGUUGAAACUGGUGGUCUUGAGUGGAUGAGAAGUACGCGGAAUGCGUGGUGUAGCGGUGAAAUGCAUAGAUAUCACGCAGAACUCCCAUUGCGAAGGCAGCGUACCGGCAUCCAACUGACGCUGAGGCACGAAAGCGUGGGGAUCAAACAGG
rnacentral:rRNA from 1 species